rnacentral:lncRNA from 1 species
GGCUAGGGGUCUAAUCAGAGCUGUAGCUGCUGGCCUACGCCACAGCCACAGCAACACCAGAUCCGAGCUGUGUUUGUGAACUACACCACGGCUCAUAGCAAUGCCAGAUCCUUAGCCCACUGGUUGAGGCCAGGGAUCAAACCUGCAACCUCAUGGUUCCUAGUCAGAUUCAUUUCUGCUGCACCAUGACAGGAAAUUUUAGAAUUUUUUUUAUAUAUAUAUCUACUAAAAAGUUUUCUGGGAUUUUUAUUGUGAUUGCUCUGAAUCUACAGAUCAAUUUAGAAAGAUUUGAUUGUUAACAAUAUUGUUUUUCAGAUCGCGGACAUGGUAUCAAUCCAUUCAGUUCCAUGUUCUUUCAUUUCUUUCUUUUUUCCAAGAUGCAUUCAUUUGUCAAUUUAUCCAUACUACAAUUCAUUCAUUCAAUGUCAAUAAACAUUGACAGACACUGUGACAGACACUGGGGAUAGAGUGGUGAAUAAAGCAGAUGAGACGUUGGCCCUUAGGGGGAGAUAGAGAGUAAACAAUGACCGCGUGACCAGGAGGGACACAGGAAGCAUCAUCCAGUAGGGCACUUCAGGGGAAGGCAGUAGGGGGCACUGAUGGCCUCCAGGAGGAAGAGCCAUCCGGGCUGGGAUCUGAAGGAUAGGUAGGAGUUAGCCAGUGAAGGGGGGAAGGGUAUGACAGGCAGAGAAAUUAGGGGAUGCCAAGGCUUUCUUCCAACAUUCAGCGCCGUUAUGGGCAAUCUGGUUUCCUGAGACAUCAGCCUUUGAGGUGUAGAGAACCCCCAGGGACCAGUUUUCAGAGAGGAAUUCUAAAACUAUACAGAUGUGAUGCUGCAUGAAAUGUUAGGAGAACACGAAUUCAGUCUACUUUGGUUGUUUGAUGGAAUGGAAUGUUAGGAGCAGAAAGGAGGGGUGUGAGUGUGUAUAUGUGUGUCCCCAUCUUCCUUGGGGAAGGGCUGGAUAUUGAUUUGGGGAAGGUCAAUUGGGAAAGGCCUGUGAAAUCUUGAAUGCCAAGUUCACAAUUUGGGCCUUAGCCUGAGGGUUGCAUGAUAGUGGUCUGAAUUGUUAGAUCUGUGUUUUAGAAAGAACAAGCUGGCUAUGGUGUGAGAAUGGAUUGCACAACUGGCUUAACCCUUGUCUCUUUUAGAAUGUAGGUUCUAUGGGAGGAAGGACUGGAUAUGUUUUGCUUACCACCGAAUCCUCAGCAUGGUACCUAGCUCAUGGCAGAGCCUCAGUAAAUAUUGGUUGAAUAAAUGAAUGAAUGGCCUUGCUGCAAGUGUCCAGACAAGAGAUGGUACAUGGCUGAACUCUGCAGGGACCAGUUUUAUGUGAUACUAAAAGGAUCAGAUCAUAAAGGACCUGGUAGUCAAAACAUACAUGAACUACUUACAAGGUAAAUAUUUAAUAAGUGGUAGCCAUUAUUAGCUUUUUAUCAAUGAUGAAAUCCAGGCUGUCUCCUAAGUUUCUGGCUUGGGGUUCUAGAAACAUGGUGCUCAGCACUCACCAGCAGUCCACUGAGAUAGAAAGAAGCUGAUGGGAGUUAAGUUUGCAAGUGAAGACAAUGAAUUUAGUUGGCGACAUUGACUUUUGAGGGACUGUCAUGAGAUUAUUGGCAAUGAUGAUCCAGGGGUCACUGUAGACAAUCCUUAGGCGCUCUGUAUUAUUCUAGUAGCUUUACCAUGAGGCAACCAAGGCCCAAACAACAGGAAAAAUGUAAAAGCCACUGUCACCCUGAAGGCUUGGACAUGAUUUGGGCCUGGGGUGGUGUGGCUCUCAGGAGGGGCUCUUGAUGGGGCACCUAGACCAGUUUCCUCCUGAUAUCUUGAGGGGCUCGAGAGGUUUUUUUUGGCUCAAGUUUGGAAAAGAGGGAAUGUUGUGGAGUCUGACUGGUCAGUGUCAUUGGGAAGAGGUCUAUUGAGUAGGUUUCCCCAGGGUCCAGGGUCAGCAGACCCAAGGUCCUCUUCUAGCUCUUAGGACCUGAGAAAGAGGAGAACCAUGACACCCAGUCCUCCUUUUACUCUUUGAACAGGUCCCUGGGUACCAAGCCAGGGCCCUCAUGCACCAGCCCAGCUACCCACCUGCCUGUGUGGCUCCCCACCCACCUGGCCAAUUGGCUGCCCAGGUUCUCAGGGUCCCUCAAAUGCUUCGGUUCUGGUUGGCUUUGGCUGCGUGGGCCAGAGGAGCAGCCACACAAAGAUUCUUCCUGUGGUAAUUUACUUUCGAGUCUCCUGGUGAAAAGAAUGCAGCAAGGACAAUCUUGUCAACACAGCCACUUCCGCUCUUUCUAGUCCCUAGGCUUUAGGGACAACAGAUGACAUUUUAGGACUCACCCAGCUGCUUGAGUCCAGGACUGACAGCCCGUCCCCCUGGGGAUUCUGCAAAGACCACUCUGGACAAUGCCAGCAUCCUCUCCAUGGGAGAGUGUUGUUUUCUACCCACCAAGCACGUUUCUACCAUUUGCCACUGAGCGGUCUAUGAUGGAGAGACCUGGCCCUUCUUGGCGCCAUCAGGGCUGGCUGGGCUUGUGGGCAGCCUCCUGUGGUUCUGAGCACACAAGGUAAGUGCGUCAUUUGCCACUGCGACUAAGCCAAAUCCUCCUCUUAAAUCAAGGGUUGGCCUCAGUUAUUUUCUCCUCCAUUCCUCUUCUUCCCGGAAGAGCCCUUGGUCUGGCUUCUAUCCAAACAGUUAACAGGGGAAAUUGGAAGUGGGACCGGUACUUCCCUGUCUAGCUGGUCACACACACUAGAGUUUGACAGUUACUAUCUCAUUAACACUGCAUAACAACCCAGUGAAGGCCACAUGGGGCCAGAAUUGUCACCACUGUCACCCACUUUGUGGAUGAAGAAGCUGAAGCCCAGAGAGGUGAGACAACCGGCCCAAAGCGAAAUCGCCCCGCAGGGGCUGGGCUGAGUCCUGAACUUGUUUACUUCUCAAGUCAAGACUUCUUCCAUCUCUUAUACUAGCAGGUGCUUUGCCUGUAAGGGAUCAUGUAAAGCCAGCUGGCAGAUGACAUUCAGAAGAGUCAUGUUGGAGAGGGGUGCCAGCCGAAUUGGGCUUGAUGUUUUGCUUUGCUGUGUUGCAACCUUGCUCAAGUGAUGUGGGAUCAGGCUGCUUUGAUUUUCAGCCCUUCAAGAGUUGAUCUUCUGCCAAAUGUCUUUGCCUUCUACAGAUCAGCUAAUCCACAAGUAUGCUCUCUAGUCAUGGAAAUUCAAAUCAGAGUUCUUUGGUUUUUACUAAGAAGAACGGACUUUAAAAAAAAGGUCUAGAAUCAUAGAAUCUCAGAAUUGAAAGGUAAUUUAGAGCGUGAAUCCAUUUUUUUUUCAACCAACAGUCUAAGACACUGAGGCUCAGAAGGGAAUAGCAGUCAAGGUCACACAACAUCUUCAGGGGCCAUGACCUCUCUUCAUAUUUCAGGAGAGCUGCCAUGGGGCACAGGGAACCGAGUUUCCCCGAGUCUGCAAGGCGCGGGGAUGGGACCCACAGCAGAUUGGGGCAGGCUCUGAGGAAGCUGUCCAUCACUUUUUUACUCUGGGCUUCUCUGGAUUAGGGAAAGGGGGGAUUACCACUGAGGAAUAAAAAAGGCUAUAGGAGAGGAUUGGAUGACUGUUCAGAAAGCUCAUGAAAGGCAGGCAAGACUGGGCUGGAAACCCAGACAAGUGACUUCACCAAAGUUUUUGCUUUUGAGCCCUGUCUUAUCUCUAAGAUGGAUGUAAUACCCAUUCUUAGGAAUAUCAAAUGAAGGAACAGCCUACGUAUAUGUACACGCAUAUAUAUACACACACAUGUAUGCGUGUUCCGUGAAAACAUAUUUAUAGAGAAAUAGGCAAAUAAAUAGGUGAGAGGUAGAGAGGUGAUGGAUGGAUAGAGAAGCCAUGGAGGGAUAUCCCAUGAAAUCAGGGCCCUCUUGUCAUUGUCACCACCCUCCUCCGUUUUGCAAGUGGAACCAGCAAGCAAGCAGCACUGGCUUGCUAACUCUUAGGGCUGUUACAAGGAUUGGAUGAAGAAAACACCACUGAUGCAUUUGAGGAUAUUUGGAGUGUGCCUCCCAGAGUCUGGCACGCUGGAGACCUGCAGAAAAGUGUGGUGAACAAAACAUCUGUGCGAUGAAGUUUCAAAAAGCUAUACAUGCACCAGGCAGUCCUCUCCGUGGCCAGAUAUUUGAGUGGUGGUUUUUUUAAUUGGUAUUUGUGAAGAGUCCUAUUUUUUUUUUAUUUUUAUUUUUUUUAGGGCCGCACCUGCAGCAUAUGGAAGUUUCCAGGCUAGAGGUCAAAUCGGAGCUGCAGCUGCUGACCUACACCACAGCCAUGGCACCACUAGAUCCGAGCUGCAUCUGUGACCUUCACCACAGCUCACAGCAACCCCAGCUCCUUUGACCCCCUGAGUGAGGCCAGGGCUCGAACCCACAUCCUCAUGGAUAAGAGUCAGGUUCAUUUCCAUUGAGCCACAAUGGGAACUCCAGGUCCUAUAAUCUUAGUAACCAUAGCUCUCUAGGGUCACAUUUAAGGUCCCCAGAUGAGAUGGGAAUAAAGCUAAGAGGAAACAUCAUUCAAAUCAAAGCUUCUGUGGUGGUAACUAGUUGAACUCGGCUGACAAUUAAAUAUGGAUACAGAUGUGGUUGGUUUUCAUUUUUCUCCUGUUCCUUGGCGACUCAUCGGACUGAAGCUAGGAGCACAGAUGGCGGUGGAGCUAACUGGAAUCUUCCCAGGCUCUGUGCCCUGAGGUUGGGAGAUGAGCACAGUGACAACAUGAUGGUGGAACAGCUAGGGAAUUCCACCCUCUCAGGUGGGGGGGAAGGAGAUGGGCCAAGGCUUUCAGCGCUGCAGCCAAAACAGCCUGAGUCUUCCGCGGGGCCACCUGCCUGUGGAGGAAUCAACCAGGUCCAGAGCUUCAGGGCAGAGGAGCUGAGCUGUGUUGUGUCACUUUUGAAGUGAGCGCCCCCUCUGCGCCAUAAGGAACCUAGUCCAAGGCCUGGCACCAAGCAGGCACUUAGCAAACAUUUGGUGAAUGAGUCCAAGUGGAGACUCAUGGGUUAUUGAGGACCUCGAAGAGCUUUUGUUUAUAUGGGUUAUAUCGAUUCAUAUUGAACAUAAUAGAAAUUAAAGCUGGGAAAAUGUAAAUUUUUCUCUGUUCAUUUAGAAAUAACAUUUUAGUGGGAAAAAAAAUGUUUUCCAGAAC